rnacentral:tRNA from 1 species
GGGUAACUGUUUGAAAUCAAUAGGUAAGUCGCCAGUCUUGAAAACCGGCGGACGUUAAUAGCGUCUCCAGGGUUCGAAUCCCUGGUUUCCCGCCA